rnacentral:rRNA from 1 species
UACGGAAGGCAGCAGUGGGGAAUAUUGCACAAUGGGCGAAAGCCUGAUGCAGCUAUGCCGCGUGUAUGAAGAAGGCCUUAGGGUUGUAAAGUACUUUCAUCGGGGAGGAAAAACAAAACUAAUAAUUUUAUUUCUUGACGUUACCCGAAAAAGAAGCACCGGCUAACUCCGUGCCAGCAGCCGCGGUAAUACGGAGGGUGCUAGCGUUAAUCAGAAUUACUGGGCGUAAAGAGCUCGUAGGUGGUUUUGUCGCGUCGUUUGUGGAAUCCGCAGCUUAACUGCGGGGUUGCAGGCGAUACGGGCAUAACUUGAGUGCUGGUAGGGGAGACUGGAAUUCCUGGUGUAGCGGUGGAAUGCGCAGAUAUCAGGAGGAACACCGGAUGGCGAAGGCAGGUCUCUGGGCAGGUAACUGACGCUGAGGGGCGAAAGCAUGGGGAGCGAAC